CAGCCGCCGCGGGAAUACGUAGGUGGCAAGCGUUGUCCGGAAUUAUUGGGCGUAAAGGGCUCGCAGGCGGUUUCUUAAGUCUGAUGUGAAAGCCCCCGGCUCAACCGGGGAGGGUCAUUGGAAACUGGGAAACUUGAGUGCAGAAGAGGAGAGUGGAAUUCCACGUGUAGCGGUGAAAUGCGUAGAGAUGUGGAGGAACACCAGUGGCGAAGGCGACUCUCUGGUCUGUAACUGACGCUGAGGAGCGAAAGCGUGGGGAGCAAACAGGAUUAGAUACCCGCGUAGUCCCUGUCUCUUAUAC
rnacentral:rRNA from 1 species